AAUAGAUACCCAGGUAGUCCACGCCGUAAACGGUGGGUACUAGGUGUGGGUUUCCUUCCUUGGGAUCCGUGCCGUAGCUAACACAUUAAGUACCCCGCCUGGGGAGUACGGCCGCAAGGCUAAAACUCAAAGAAAUUGACGGGGGCCCGCACAAGCGGCGGAGCAUGUGGAUUAAUUCGAUGCAACGCGAAGAACCUUACCUGGGUUUGACAUGCACAGGACGCCUGUAGAGAUAUGGGUUCCCUUGUGGUCUGUGUGCAGGUGGUGCAUGGCUGUCGUCAGCUCGUGUCGUGAGAUGUUGGGUUAAGUCCCGCAACGAGCGCAACCCUUGUCCUAUGUUGCCAGCGGGUGAUGCCGGGGACUCGUAGGAGACUGCCGGGGUCAACUCGGAGGAAGGUGGGGAUGACGUCAAGUCAUCAUGCCCCUUAUGUCCAGGGCUUCACACAUGCUACAAUGGCCGGUACAAAGGGCUGCGAUGCCGUGAGGUGGAGCGAAUCCUUGAAAGCCGGUCUCAGUUCGGAUCGGGGU
rnacentral:rRNA from 1 species